rnacentral:rRNA from 1 species
UACAGAGGUCUCGAGCGUUAGGCGGAAUCACUGGGCUUAAAGCGUGUGUAGGCGGAUCGUUAAGUGCCUUGUGAAAUCCCACGGCUCAACCGUGGAACUGCUUGGUAUACUGGCGGUCUUGAGCAACCUAGGGGCGAGCGGAACAAAUGGUGGAGCGGUGAAAUGCGUAGAUAUCAUUUGGAACGCCAAUGGUGAAAACAGCUCGCUGGGGGUUUGCUGACGCUGAGACACGAAAGCCAGGGGAGCAAACGGG